rnacentral:lncRNA from 1 species
UGACACAGGAAGACUUGCGAAGCAAUCUACACACGUGGAGGUGAGCUGGAAGCUGAGCUGGAGCUGCAGGACGUGCUGGACACUUCAAGAGACGAGAAGCUGACGUGGAUAGGAAGCUUGGAGUAUCUUGGAGGAUCUUUGAAGAAAAUAUCAAGUUUCCUCUAUCUUAGGAGAAGAUAAGGAAGGUGAAGAUUCUCAUGAAGAUUUGGAGAAAUCA